rnacentral:misc_RNA from 1 species
GCCGCCGAUCCGAUCCGUACAAUUGCCGAUAUUCAGGACCUUCUUGCCGGCCGAUCUACCCGGCUCUGAGUUGUAGUCAUGGCUUCAGCCAAUGGCAAGGGAAAUGUGAUCAAUGAUGUUGAAGCAAAAGGAUUCAAUCCAGCGCUAAUAGUACUUCUUCUUGUUGGUGGGUUGCUGCUGAUUUUCCUCGUAGGGAACUAUGCACUUUACUUGUAUGCACAGAAGAAUCUCCCUCCCAAGAAGAAAAAGCCAGUAUCUAAAAAGAAGAUGAAGAGAGAAAGACUGAAGCAAGGAGUGUCUGCACCUGGAGAGUAAAAAACAGAAAAGAAUAUGAAAAAUUUAACUUCCCGAGGUUUCCUUCUCUGUAGAACGUUUUGAUUUUCAAAAUUUUUCCUACAUAGACUGCCUAGAAAGUUGUUUAACAGUUUAUUUAUUUUA